CAGCCGCCGCGGUAAUUCGGAGGGUGCAAGCGUUAAUCGGAAUUACUGGGCGUAAAGCGUGCGUAGGCGGUUUAUUAAGUCAGAUGUGAAAGCCCCGGGCUUAACCUGGGAACUGCAUUUGAAACUGGUCAACUAGAGUAUGGUAGAGGAAAGUGGAAUUUCUGGUGUAGCGGUGAAAUGCGUAGAUAUCAGAAGGAACAUCAAUGGCGAAGGCAGCUUUCUGGACCAAUACUGACGCUGAGGUACGAAAGCGUGGGUAGCAAACAGGAUUAGAUACCCUGGUAGUCCACGCCGUAAACGAUGAUAACUAGCCGUUGGGGGGAUUUACCCUUUAGUGGCGAAGCUAACGCGUUAAGUUAUCCGCCUGGGGAGUACGGCCGCAAGGUUAAAACUCAAAGGAAUUGACGGGGACCCGCACAAGCGGUGGAGCAUGUGGUUUAAUUCGAUGCAACGCGAAGAACCUUACCUGGUCUUGACAUCCUGCGAACUUUCUAGAAAUAGAUUGGUGCCUUCGGGAACGCAGUGACAGGUGCUGCAUGGCUGUCGUCAGCUCGUGUCGUGAGAUGUUGGGUUAAGUCCCGUAACGAGCGCAACCCCUAUCCUUAUUUGCCAGCACGUCAUGGUGGGAACUAUAAGGAGACUGCCGGUGAUAAACCGGAGGAAGGCGGGGACGACGUCAAGUCAUCAUGGCCCUUACGACCAGGGCUACACACGUGCUACAAUGGGAAGGACAAAGAGCCGCGAAGCCGCGAGGUGUAGCUAAUCUCAGAAACCUUUUCGUAGUCCGGAUUGGAGUCUGCAACUCGACUCCAUGAAGUCGGAAUCGCUAGUAAUCGUAGAUCAGAACGCUACGGUGAAUACGUUCCCGGGUCUUGUACACACCGCCCGU
rnacentral:rRNA from 1 species